rnacentral:rRNA from 1 species
UAGAAAAGACAAUGCUAAAAUGAGUAAUAAGAGAGAACUCAACUCUCUCCAGGCACAAGCGUAAAUCAGAACGGACAAGCCACUGAUAAGUAACGGACCCAAACCCAGAGGGAAAAGCAAUUAAACUAACUAAACAAGAAAACCCUGCACAGAAACAACCGUUAACCCCACACAGGAGUGCCACAAGGAAAGACUAAAAGGAGAAGAAGGAACUCAGCAAACACCAACCCCGCCUGUUUACCAAAAACAUCGCCUCUUGCUAAAAAGAAUGUAUUAGAGGUCCCGCCUGCCCAGUGACCACUCCGUUUAACGGCCGCGGUAUUAUAACCGUGCAAAGGUAGCGUAAUCAUUUGUCUUUUAAAUGAAGACCUGUAUGAAUGGCACCACGAGGGUUUAACUGUCUCCUCCCCCCAGUCAAUGAAAUUGAUCUGCCCGUGCAGAAGCGGACAUAAAAACAUAAGACGAGAAGACCCUAUGGAGCUUUAGGCUAAAGAUUCAAACACAUAAAGAAACUUUAUAAAACAAAAGAGAUAAAACAAAUUUUAAACCCAGUGCCCAAAUGAUCACAUGCCUUCGGUUGGGGCGACCAUGGGGAAAAACAAAACCCCCAUAUGGAACGAGAACCUUCCUCCUCCAAACUAAGAAAGACACUUCUAGGUAACAGAAAAUCUGACCAAUCAUGACCCGGAGUAAAUAAAUCCGAUCAAUGAACCAAGUUACCCUAGGGAUAACAGCGCAAUCCUCUCCCAGAGUCCCUAUCGACGAGAGGGUUUACGACCUCGAUGUUGGAUCAGGACAUCCUAAUGGUGAAGCCGCUAUUAAGGGUUCGUUUGUUCAACGAUUAACAGUCCUACGUGAUCUGAGUUCAGACCGGAGCAAUCCAGGUCGGUUUCUAUCUAUGACAUUACUUUUCCCCAGUACGAAAGGACCGGGAAAAGAGGGCCCAUACCGAAGGCAAGCCCUACCUCAACCCCCUGACAACAAAUAAAACGG